rnacentral:misc_RNA from 1 species
GUGGAUUGGUAAAUUUAUUAACUGGGAUCCUUUGGAGAUAUAUUAAUAGUACUAGUUGGAUCUAAUAAAAUAGUACGAUUAUAAGACCCUUCACUAUCAACACAAAAUAGCAUUAAAUGCCCUCAGAUUCUCACUUGAUUGCUUGUCUCCAACAUUCAAUGCUGCAAGUAACCACUUCUUGCUUUUGCUGGUUUCACAGCCAGCUGCGUUUUCAUUUCUUUCAAUCUUCUGUCUUGCAAAGCCCAUCCACUGAGAUUGGCCAGUUAGGUGGCUGCAAUUCUCCACUGUCGCGCCUUCCUAGCGUUUCGUUUGAAAAAUUGUUAAUGCUUAGCAAAUGAUUCUCCAAAUCUCUCACUCUGUUUUCACACCUCAGGAGGAUCCACGCCUUACCCUAUGUUUGGGAGAGGGAGUUUUUGAAGGUAAGGAAUGGAUUUUUAAAGUAUUGAUCGCAGGAAAGUUUUUUUUAAAGGAGGUAAGGUUGUUAGAGAAAACCUCCAAAAAUUUCACCUUUUUAAUUCACUAAAUUGAUGGGUUAGGGAGGUUAGAGAACUGGCAACACUAAUUGUCCCUCGGUUUUCAUGGAUUGAAAGAUCUCCACGAGUUGAUGCAAGAAGAUAAUUUCCUGAGAAAAUAUCAAUUGAAAUUUUCGAUUCUUGUAUGACAUUAAUGAGUUCUUCAGAAAGGGUUUUCCCUUUCUCAAGUUCUUGAUCAUCCUUGAAGGUGGUAACUCCUUUCUGAGAUAAUGCAGCAAAAAGAUAGAUGGUCAAAUUCUUGCAGGUGUCUUCCACUCUGAAGUGAUUGUGUUGUUUUAAAUAUUAGCCUAUAUAAGUUUCAGAUCAAAUAUUUAUACUUUCAUUUUAUAUUUUUCUGAUGUGUGAUAGUCUAUGAGAUAAAAAAG